UACGGGGGGGGCAAGCGUUGUUCGGAAUUACUGGGCGUAAAGGGCUCGUAGGCGGCCAACUAAGUCAGACGUGAAAUCCCUCGGCUUAACCGGGGAACUGCGUCUGAUACUGGAUGGCUUGAAUCCGGGAGAGGGAUGCGGAAUUCCAGGUGUAGCGGUGAAAUGCGUAGAUAUCUGGAGGAACACCGGUGGCGAAGGCGCAUCCUGGACCGGCAUUGACGCUGAGGAGCGAAAGCCAGGGGAGCAAACGGG
rnacentral:rRNA from 1 species